ensembl:lncRNA
GGGGUCAAUGGGGUCAGUGGGGACAAUGCAAACAAUGGGGACAUUGGGGUCAAUGGGGACAAUGGGAACAUUGGGGUCAAUGGGGUCAAUGGGAUCAAUGGCAGACAAUGGGGACAUUGGGGUCAAUGGGGUCAAUGGGGAACAUUGGGGUCAAUGGGGACAAUGGCAGACAAUGGGGACAUUGGGGUCAAUGGGGUCAAUGGGGUCAAUGGGAUCAAUGGCAGACAGUGGGGAUAUUGGGGUCAAUGGGGUCAUUGGGGUCAAUGGGGUCAUUGGGGUCAAUGGGGACAAUGCAGACAAUGGGGACAUAGGGGUCAGCAGGGACGCGUUUUGGGGGUGCCGUGCUGACGUCCCCUUGGUGGGGGGCACCCAGAGGUGGCGGCGCCGUGGACGGAGGAGACCAUCAAGCAGUGCCUGUACCUCUACCUGGCGCUGCUGCCCCACAACCACCGCCUCAUCCACGAGCUGGCGGCCGUCUACACCGAGGCCAUCGCCGACAUCAAGCGCACCGUGCUCAGGGUCAU